UGGGGAAUAUUGCACAAUGGGCGCAAGCCUGAUGCAGCCAUGCCGCGUGUGUGAAGAAGGCCUUCGGGUUGUAAAGCACUUUUGUCCGGAAAGAAAUCCUUGGCUCUAAUACAGUCGGGGGAUGACGGUACCGGAAGAAUAAGCACCGGCUAACUACGUGCCAGCAGCCGCGGUAAUACGUAGGGUGCAAGCGUUAAUCGGAAUUACUGGGCGUAAAGCGUGCGCAGGCGGUUUGCUAAGACCGAUGUGAAAUCCCCGGGCUCAACCUGGGAACUGCAUUGGUGACUGGCAGGCUAGAGUAUGGCAGAGGGGGGUAGAAUUCCACGUGUAGCAGUGAAAUGCGUAGAGAUGUGGAGGAAUACCGAUGGCGAAGGCAGCCCCCUGGGCCAAUACUGACGCUCAUGCACGAAAGCGUGGGGAGCAAACAGGAUUAGAUACCCUGGUAGUCCACGCCCUAAACGAUGUCAACUAGUUGUUGGGGAUUCAUUUCCUUAGUAACGUAGCUAACGCGUGAAGUUGACCGCCUGGGGAGUACGGUCGCAAGAUUAAAGGCUCAAAAUUGAAUUGGACGGGGGCUCAUAGCUGUUUUCCUG
rnacentral:rRNA from 1 species